rnacentral:sRNA from 1 species
AGCAGCCGCGGUAAUUCCAGCUCCAAUAGCGUAUAUUAAAGUUGUUGCAGUUAAAAAGCUCGUAGUUGAAUUUCGGGGUUCUACCGUUGGUCAGGCUAUAGUCUGUACUGGCGUGUGGAAUUUCUACCUUCUGGGGAACUAUCAUGUUAUUAAUUUAGCGUGGUAGGAAACCAGAGCCUUUACCUUGAAAAAAUUAGAGUGUUCAAAGCAGGCUUACGUCUGAAUACAUUAGCAUGGAAUAAUAAAAUAGGACGGUGGUCCUGUUUUGUUGGUUUCUGAAUCACCGUAAUGAUUAAUAGGGAUAGUUGGGGGCAUUAGUAUUCAAUUGUCAGAGGUGAAAUUCUUGGAUUUAUUGAAGACUAACUACUGCGAAAGCAUUUGCCAAGGAUGUUUUCAUUAAUCAAGAACGAAAGUUAGGGGAUCGAAGACGAUCAGAUACCGUCGUAGUCUUAACCAUAAACUAUGCCGACUAGGGAUCGGAUGA